rnacentral:rRNA from 1 species
UGGGGGAUAUUGCACAAUGGGCGAAAGCCUGAUGCAGCAACGCCGCGUGAGGGAAGACGGUCUUCGGAUUGUAAACCUUUAGCUUUGGGGAAGAAACAAAUGACGGUACCCAAAGGGGCAGCCACGGCUAACUACGUGCCAGCAGCCGCGGUACUACGUAGGUGGCAAGCGUUGUCCGGAAUUACUGGGUGUAACGGGAGCGACGGCGGGGAGACAAGUCAGCUGUGAAAACUAUGGGCUUAACCCAUAGAUUGCAGUUGAAACUGUUU